rnacentral:lncRNA from 1 species
UUACAUCAUACAAAAAAAUCAAAAGAAAAUUCUAAAAGGUUUGAGAAAAUUACAAGAGCAGUGGUUAAAAGUAGGUGUUCGUGACAUGAAAAGUUUGCCGACGAAUAAGCCAUCGUCAAAUGAUACCCCAUACCUUCGAAUUCAUCUUCCUCCCUCUUUCUUCACAGUUCAUCAUUUCUGCUUGAAUUUAGGUGAAAUCCGUUUCCGAGAAAUCAAUUUGCGACGAAUCAAACUCCGGAUUCCUUCAAAUCCUCAAUUUUAGACGGCGAUUAGAAAAAUGAGGGGGAGAAAAGUAGGACGACUUUUUGAUUUGGGAGGAGAAGCCAUUUAGAG